UGUGUUUUUCUUUCACUAACGGUUCAUCUCACAGGUUCAUUGUCACAAAGGUUGAAAUCCCAAACUGACAACAUGCUGUGGACCAUCUGCACUGUCCUCUCUGCUCUAACAUAUGUUGAUGCAGCUAAGGUUUUGACCCAGACGCCUGCUGUUCACACAGUUUCUACAGGUCAACAGGCUAUUCUCAAAUGUAACAUUCAGAGGCCUGAGAGCUAUUAUGUCUAUUGGUACAAACAGGUGCCUGGUGGGACUCCCCAGUAUGUUCUGAGAUUUUAUCAUUCUGACAGUUCCCCUGCAUUUGGAUCAGGUUUCUCCUCUGACAGAUUUAACUCUAAAGCCACAUCAAAUAUAGACUACCAGUUUAUUAUAAAGCAGGCAGAAGCAGGAGACUCUGUAGUGUAUUACUGUGCAACAUGGGAUGACUCUGCUAAGGAGAGGGUAUCACACCCUGUCCUGACGGUCUUCCCUCCAUCCAGCGCUGAGCUCCAGUCCAACAAAGCCACUCUGCUCUGUCUGUCCAGUCAGUCUGGGCCUUUUUGCAGAUGUGAGCUGGUUGGUUGGUGGGAGUCCAGUCGGCACUGGGACCAGACUUUCCACAUCAGCAGUACUCUGUCCAUCAAGAAGUCAGAUUGGAUGUGUAAAGUGUCUUUGGGCGCCCAGACUGCAGAUAAAAAUAUCAACAAGUCAGGAUGUCCUGCUGAAGAAUAGCAGAGGACCAAAAUCAUCUUUAAUCAUCUGCUUCUGUUCUGAGGACAUAUACACAUUCUAAAGAAGAGUAAGUAAACAAGUCAAACAGGUUGGAAAGUAUCACUUUUGAUAUUUGUUAUCUGAGGUCCUCAAUGGAGAACUGCGAGUUUUGGUAACAAAGUAUGCAUCUUGUCACUUUCACCAUAUAAACAUACAAAUACUAAUUAUCUAUAAUUCUGACCUAAAAUAUUUGAACAUGCCUACCAACCUGCUGGUAAUAGGUGCACAUUUGUUGAACAAGCAGAGAGAUUAUACAAGUGAAUAAGUAUAUGCUUUAAGUUGUGGAAGAUAACUGAAACCUUUGGACAGACAGAAUCAGAAGAAACUGAAUUUUCAUCCUCUGUUAGUGAAGCAUCUCCUCUACGCCUCCCUCUCUGUUCUCACAGGAUGCAGCUGCAGAUCUCCCCUUUA